rnacentral:rRNA from 1 species
AACGAACGCUGGCGGCAGGCUUAACACAUGCAAGUCGAACGCAUCGCAAGAUGAGUGGCAGACGGGUGAGUAACGCGUGGGAACAUACCCUUUUCUACGGAAUAGCUCUGGGAAACUGGAAUUAAUACCGUAUACGCCCUACGGGGGAAAGAUUUAUCGGGGAAGGAUUGGCCCGCGUUGGAUUAGCUAGUUGGUGGGGUAAAGGCCUACCAAGGCGACGAUCCAUAGCUGGUCUGAGAGGAUGAUCAGCCACAUUGGGACUGAGACACGGCCCAAACUGCGACGGGAGGGAGCAGUGGGGAAGAGUGGACAAUGGGCGGAAGCCUGAUCCAGCCAUGGCGCGUGAGGGAUGAAGGCCUUAGGGUUGUAAAGCUCUUUCACCGAUGAAGAUAAUGACGGUAGUCGGAGAAGAAGCCCCGGCUAACUUCGUGCCAGCCGCCGCCGUAA